rnacentral:tRNA from 1 species
GAGGGUAUAGCUCAGUGGUAGAGUGCAUGCUUAGCAUGCACAAGGUCCUGGGUUCAAUCCCCAGCACUGCCA